AUGAACUGUCCUGGACAUUGUUUGAUGUUCGAUCAUCGCCCUCGCUCCUGGCGUGAGUUACCAUUGCGUAUGGCUGAUUUUGGCGUGUUACAUCGAAGCAAGUUAUAUCAGCCAUUAAAAAAUUAGCUCAUUGAAAUCAACCAAUGAAAUCGAUCGGACCACCAAAUGAUCUUAAUAAACGUCAAUCACUUUACACAA